UACAGAGGGUGCAAGCGUUGUUCGGAAUUAUUGGGCGUAAAGCGCGUGUAGGCGGCUUUGCAAGUCGGGUGUGAAAGCCCUCAGCUCAACUGAGGAAGUGCGCCCGAAACUGCAGAGCUUGAGUGCCGGAGGAGGGUGGCGGAAUUCCCCAAGUAGAGGUGAAAUUCGUAAGAUAUGGGGGAGGAACACCGGUGGCGAAGGCG
rnacentral:rRNA from 1 species